GAAUGUAUAGCUCAGUGGUAGAGCAUGUGCUUAGCAUGAAUGAAGUCCUGUCCUGGGUUCAAUCCCCAGUGCCUCCA
rnacentral:tRNA from 1 species